CCCUUAGAUGUUCUGGGCCGCACGCGUGCUACACUGAGUAAUUCAAUGGGUAAGGGAACGCUAGAGCAUUACCUAAUCUUGAAAUUUGCUCGUGAUGGGGAUCGACGGUUGCAAUUUUCCGUCGUGAACGAGGAAUCCCUUGUAGGCGCAUGUCAUCAUCAUGCGCCGAAUACGUCCCUGCCCUUUGUACACACCGCCCGUCGCUCCUACCGAUUGAGUGAUCCGGUGAGGCUCUGGGACCUGGACGGAAAGAGCGUUUCGCUUGUUCUGUUUGGGAAACUUGGUCGAACCUUAUCAUUUAGAGGAAGGAGAAGUCGUAACA
rnacentral:rRNA from 1 species